UCUCUACAUGACACUUGAACUUAUCACGAACAACAUGCAAAGCAGAUAAACUUUGACACCAAUGUCAUUUUUUUUUCACCCUACUGUAGGUUUGCAGGCUCAGAAUUGCACAACUCAGAAUCCAAGUCUCUCAGGUUCAUUGGGUUCCCUGUCAGGCGGUACCAGCUCCAGGAUGAUUCCAGAAGAAGUUGUGCUCUGGCCACCACUUGCAGGACUUGUCUCUGGAGAUGACAUAUGGAUAGGUUAGACUUGCAAAGAUGUGCUGGCAGAAGUGUUCUCAGUGGGGACAGUUUUGACUUGCAUUGAGUUGGUAUCUCGCAGGAAGGAAGCUGGGGAGGUGGUUCUCUCUUCCACUGGGACCACGACUUCCAUAAAUCCAUUCCCUUCUGAAUAAGCAGAAAGAGGAUAGUGGAAGAAGACAUGGAGCAACCAACAGCAAGAUUUUCAUUUUAGAUAACAG